rnacentral:misc_RNA from 1 species
GAAAUGCGAUAAGUAAUGUGAAUUGCAGAAUUCAGUGAAUCAUCGAAUCUUUGAACGCACAUUGCGCCCUCUGGUAUUCCGGGGGGCAUGCCUGUUCGAGCGUCAUUUCACCACUGAAGCAUGGCUUGGUAUUAGGCACUCGGCCGUCCCGCGUGGCGGUCGGGCCUCAAAACCUUCGGCGAAGUCACACCGGCUUUGGGCGCAGUAGAAUCAUCUUAAACGCUCUGUGAGUCCGGUCGAGUCUUUUGCCGCGAACGAUUCUCACGAAUCAUUUUUUUAAAGGUUGACCUCGGAUCAGGUAGGGAUACCCGCUGAACUUAA